CUUAGCUCAGUUGGAUAGAGCACCAGACUUCUAAUCUGGCGGCCGGUGGUUCGAAUCCACCA
rnacentral:tRNA from 1 species